GAUGGUUCAGUGAUUAAAAGCACUAGCUGCUCAUCCAAAGGUCCUGAGUUCAAUUCCCAGCAACCACAUGGUGGCUCACAACCAUCUAUAAUAGAAUCUGACACUUUAUCUGUUGCUCUCUUCUGUCGUGCAGGCAUAGGUGCAACAGGGUGCUUACAUACAGAAAUACAUAAAUCUU